rnacentral:rRNA from 1 species
UCGGGGCCACCUCCCACCCGUGUUGCCCGAACCUAUGUUGCCUCGGCGGGCCCCGCGCCCGCCGACGGCCCCCCUGAACGCUGUCUGAAGUUGCAGUCUGAGACCUAUAACGAAAUUAGUUAAAACUUUCAACAACGGAUCUCUUGGUUCCGGCAUCGAUGAAGAACGCAGCGAAAUGCGAUAACUAAUGUGAAUUGCAGAAUUCAGUGAAUCAUCGAGUCUUUGAACGCACAUUGCGCCCUCUGGUAUUCCGGAGGGCAUGCCUGUCCGAGCGUCAUUGCUGCCCUCAAGCCCGGCUUGUGUGUUGGGCCCCGUCCCCCCCGCCGGGGGGACGGGCCCGAAAGGCAGCGGCGGCACCGCGUCCGGUCCUCGAGCGUAUGGGGCUUCGUCACCCGCUCUAGUAGGCCCGGCCGGCGCCAGCCGACCCCCAACCUUUAAUUAUCUCAGGUGACCUCGGAUCAGGUAGGAUGCCCGCUGAACUUAGCAUAUCAAUAA